rnacentral:lncRNA from 1 species
UGGGAGAGUUUGUGAUACUCUUCCCUUGAAAUUUGACGACUUCUGGCCAAAGCGACAGAAGUGCCGGGAGAGUUUGUGAUACUCCCCCCUGAAGUGUGAUGAUUUCUGGCCGAAGCGACAGAAGUGUUAGGAGAGUUUGUAAAACUCUUCCCUGAAUUUUGACGACUUCUGGCCGAAGCGACAGAAGUGCCGGGAGAGCUUGUGAUACUCC